AGGAUGAACGCUGGCGGCGUGCCUAAUACAUGCAAGUCGAACGAAUCUCUUUUAGAGAUGAGUGGCGAACGGGUGAGUAAUACAUAGGUAACCUGCCCCUGUGCGGGGGAUAACAGGAGGAAACUCCUGCUAAUACCGCAUAGCCAUGAGCACCGCAUGGAGCUCAUGCCAAAUAUCCUUUCGGGGAUAGCGCAGGGAUGGACCUAUGGCGCAUUAGCUUGUUGGCGGGGCAACGGCCCACCAAGGCAACGAUGCGUAGCCGGCCUGAGAGGGCGGACGGCCACAUUGGGACUGAGACACGGCCCAGACUCCUACGGGAGGCAGCAGUAGGGAAUUUUCGGCAAUGGGGGAAACCCUGACCGAGCAACGCCGCGUGAGCGAAGAAGGCCUUCGGGUCGUAAAGCUCUGUUGUAAAGGAAGAACGGCGCAUACAGGAAAUGGUAUGCGAGUGACGGUACUUUACCAGAAAGCCACGGCUAACUACGUGCCAGCAGCCGCGGUAAUACGUAGGUGGCGAGCGUUAUCCGGAAUCAUUGGGCGUAAAGAGGGAGCAGGCGGCCGCAAGGGUCUGUGGUGAAAGACCGAAGCUAAACUUCGGUAAGCCAUGGAAACCGGGCGGCUAGAGUGCGGAAGAGGAUCGUGGAAUUCCAUGUGUAGCGGUGAAAUGCGUAGAUAUAUGGAGGAACACCAGUGGCGAAGGCGACGGUCUGGGCCGCAACUGACGCUCAUUCCCGAAAGCGUGGGGAGCAAAUAGGAUUAGAUACCCUAGUAGUCCACGCCGUAAACGAUGGUCACUAAGUGUCGGGGGUCAAACCCCGGUGCUGCAGUCAACGCAAUAAGUGACCCGCC
rnacentral:rRNA from 1 species